CGACAUAUUAUUUUUCUACGGUCUCUCUUUUUGUUAGCUAACUACAUAUAUAGAAGAAUUCGACAGGGCCCUCUAUAUCGAAGUUCGAAAGAUUGGACAUAGCACAGGCCACUGAUACAUAACAUGUGUUAUAUAUCUGGCAAGAUCCCGUGGUAAGGGUAGACUCUUAAUAAUGUCAUAAGGUGUGUCCCGGUCAUAUAUACAGGCUGGAAACUUCCGUAGUGAGUGAUAGGCUUUUAGUGACCAAAUGAUAUUGAUCAGCUUGUUCGCAAUAAGGCAUUUUAAUCAAAAUCUUAGGAUUCGUUAUGUAACGCCAUUGUAUAAAAAUACCCCAAACCUGAUUAAAGGGACAAGCGACACCACUAUAAUGAUAAUAGAAACCAACUUCUGUCUUACAUAUAUGAAUACUACUUAUAUAUAUAUAUAUAUACUACUACUACUAAGAA